rnacentral:rRNA from 1 species
UACGUAGGUGGCAAACGUUGUCCGGAUUCACUGGGCGUAAAGCGCGCGCAGGCGGAUUGGUCAGUCUGGGGUGAAAUCUCUCGGCUCAACUGAGAGAGGUCCCUGGAUACUGCCAGUCUUGAGGGGCUCAGAGGAGAGUGGAAUUCCGCGUGUAGUGGUGGAAUGCGUAGAUACGCGGAGGAACACCAGUGGCGAAAGCGGCUCUCUGGGGGCCACCUGACGCUGAGGCGCGAAAGCCAGGGGAGCAAACGGG